ensembl:lncRNA
CUGAGAAUUUGCUCUACAAGAUGGUGUCAUUGUGCUCUUUGUAUCUGUAGUAGUUUCCAAGGAAAGAAAUAGGAGGCAUUACUUUCAGAGUGACCUACAUAUGUAUUUAAUUGAAGGCCAUCUGGUCUCAGUGGAGGACAGGGAAAAAUAUGGCUCAUUGCAGAAGGACAGCUGGGAAGAGUAGUGAAGUUACACAGCGUUUAAAUAUUUAAUGCAAUUUUAUCAUAAUAGUAUUCAAGAGUUGUUUUUAAUUGAUGUUUCUAGAGUAACAUGUUUUAUUAACGUGGAAAUAUCUUUUCUUCCCUAACUCCUUAAAGCUGUGCAUACUAGUCCCUCAUCAUUUAGGGAACCUGAGAUGAGGAGUUCCAGUGAAGACUGUUCUGAAGUACUGGGCCUCGCCAAGAGAUCUGGGAAGUGAGGAGUGCUGCUGCAGCAGCAGCCUGGGAGCAUGGUUAAGGAAAAUGUUGGAGAGUCUUACAAAAACAGCACGAGCUGUGGCCUGUCAACAGCUCCUGGCAUGUGACAGUCUCUGUGGCAUGCACAACUGUGAAAGAACCAAGCGCAGGAGAGAAGCUUGUGGUGUCGGUGGAACCUCUGCUGCUGUUUUUCCAUUGACUUUGUGUUGCCAUAGGCAUCUGCAUUAGCAGUUUUAGAGGUAGGUAAGGUAUGCUUUUAUGGUAUUUGUACCAGCUGAAGAGGAGACAGGGAACCUUCACACUGCUUAUUCUGUGAUGGGUGUGAACAGCCAUGCAAACUACAAAGUGAUAGUGGUGCUGAGCUUCAUUCACAAAACCCAGGCUCAUUGCAAAGACUCAUAUUAAAGAAAAAUGGGCUGACUAAAUUGGAACUCAUUCGGUGUGGACUAGGAAAAGUGGGAGCAUAUUUUAAUGUUGUUGAAGGAUGAAAUAUUUCCUUGUGAAAAUACUAUUUACACGGAAAGAUGAUGAUAAUUAGGGCAAUAAGUGAAUCACCACCAAUAAUAACAUUACAGCACUGUGGAAUGUGGUAGUAUCUCAUUACUGGGCAAUAAUGCUUCGGUUAAAUGUCAGCAGUGUAAAACAUUAGCAAGAAUUAAAAAACUGAUUAAUAGAAAACAACUUUUCUUUCAAGGCAAUGUACCUGAUCUCCACUAUGAGAAAAUCUCAUAGUGGAGAGAUAAUAACUAGUAGCUAUGUACUAGAGGUGUAUUAGAAAAGGGCAACGAACCAUGAUGGAGGGAAAAUUGCAUUUCCAUCUGGAGUUACUAAUUGAAGAAUCCCUUUCAAAGUGAAUAUAUUUUAAGCAUAUAUACACUACCGAACCUAGAAAUAAAGCUUACAUUUUUUUCAUCUUUUAAGAUAAUAUGUUUCUGGUGGAGCCUGAAGAAACUAUCAUCCAUCAAAUUAAUACACCAUAUAAAUAAGUGUUUUUCACUAAAAUUCCGUGCUUUAAGGCAAGAUUACUAUCUUCCCAACUCGAAAGAAUAAGAAAAGCUUUUCUUGAUAUCUCAUUGCUGAUCUCAGCAGUACACCAAGCUUCUGCUAAUGGUGGAAACUGAACACUAAAUCAAGGUCCCCUGUAGAUGUACUUCUGGAACUUAUGGGCCCUGAGCAUGUAGAUCUGUUUUGGACUGAUGAAGAAGCCCUAAGAAAACCCGGAAGAGGUCAGUGUUUUAAGCUCUUGGGAAAAAUAUGCUGUUGAGACUCUUUCCAAACUUGCAGAAGGGAGGUUUGAUUCCCUCUAUAUCGAAGCUCUCUUACAGCACAGUGAUAUACCAGGCAAAACACAAGAAUAUCUCUAGGCGAUCCUCAAGGUGAUUUUUCUCAGGAUGUCAGCAAGGGCUGAAUCAGAGACUGAAGAUUUGAAAUUAUGUGACUGGGUGACAGCUUUAGGACAUUGAGCUCUUACACUGGCCCGCAAUAUGCUGUGGUUAAAACUGAUCCUGAUGCUGAAUGAUAACCACACUGCCCACAGAAAAUGUUCCUAAGUAGCUAACUAAAUGCCAUUUUCUCUACCGCAAGCUCACAGAAAUAUUAAUGGUGUGCUUGCUGCAAACAGAAAAAAAAGUUAUUUUAUUAAAAGACGUGAGUACUGCUGAUUUUUAAUUGAAUACACUGAAGCAUUUAUAACACCAGCACAAACACUAUUUGACAGCAGCUUUUCCUAGUGGCCUGCCUGUCUCAUUUUCAACAGCAAAGGAGUCAGUAGAUGGAGCAAAAUCUUAUGGCACCUCUCAGUGUUUUGCUGGAACACCUCAUGCUGGCUGAAUUUCCUGAAGACUGUAAACUGAUACUUCGACAUCUAUCUGCAUCAUGAAGAGACUGAAACGCCUGAAAUCAGGAGCAAUUGAUUUUGAUAUGUACGUCGGUAACAUUUUAAGUUUGAUACAUCAAAAGAAAAGGAAGUAUUUGACUGCAAAACCCAAGAAUGAUCUUGCAAACCAUCAGCAAGAGGCAGAGAGGCUCAGAAAAGUUGUGGACUGAUUAAUUUUUCCAAAGAGAGUGUAAAUUUCAUGCUGUACUAAUUCCAGAGCAGCUAACAGAGUGAGUUGCUGGUUGUUAGCAGCCUGCCCCAAAACUGUAAUGUCAAUGUGUCUUGUCUCAGGAGAAUGAAAGUGGAGACAGCCAUGAUGGCAAACACUUCUUCUAGCUCACAGCAGACCAGUGGCAGGACUGUGACCUGAAGGCCACUCUACAGGAGCUGAGUCCUUCUGACAAGGGAGAGUUCGUAUCAAACAGAAACACCAUCAAUGACAGCAAAUAACAAAUGCUGGUGAUGUGGGAUUUGUCAUAGUUCUACCUUUCAAUACAAAAAUGUGCUCACAGAAGGUGAGCAGAAACUGGUUUUUUUGGACAAAUGGGUGGCGUGGUUUACUUAGAACUGUUUUGGAGGGUCAGAAUACCAUGGCAGCCAAUUAUGUGUUAAUAGUAAUUCAGCACAUAGUUUUGUCUCUUGAUGCAUUUAGAUUUAACACAUUAUACACAGAAAUGCAUAUUUAGUGAUAUUAGCACCACAGCCUAAGAAAAUAAAUGUAUUUCUGAUUUCAUGAUAAGUAAGGAGUUUGGUUUUGGCUUUCUCAGGUGUAGGAACAGCGUUAUUGAAGUGUGAGAAUAAUGGGUGCAGGUGGUAGAAUAGUUUAGCAGUGCUGAAUUAUUCAGCAAUGUUGAUUCUGUUCUAGCAGCUUGUUAGCUCAAUGUACUUUGAAGUACUACCAUUCACUCAUAAAAUCUGUCAUCAUAGCAUUCACCUGAGAAAAGAUCUUCGAAAGAUCAUUUUUAUUUUAUGUACCCAUUAAAAAUGGUUUCAGGUGAACUGAUUAUUUCAGUGUAAUAAGACAGCAGGGGAGGAGGAACAGACAGUUGAUAUGGGAAAUAUGUAUAUCUUUUAUUAAAGGAUCUCGAUGUUUCUCUGAAUUCUGCUAAGUCAAAAUUGCUGUAUUUAAUGCUGAAUUUUAUAUUAGAAAAAGCAAUGAUAGAAUUAUACUCAAUUCUAGCUUGGUGGACGUAUUAAUUUAUUGAUGAUGACAGGUAGAAUUGACAGACAAAUCUAGUUUGGAGAGGAUCUCUGGAGGUCUUGCUCCAAUCUCCCUCUCAGAACAAGGCCAACUAAUUAAGGUUUCUUGGAGCUUUAGGCAGUUAGGGUCAAACAUCUGCAGGGAUAAAAACUCCACAUCCUCUCUGGACCCUUGUUCUGGUGUGCAGCCACUUUCAUGGUGAUCAAAGUGUCUCCUUUUCUUUAGCUGGGACAAUUCAGGCUUUGCCUUUUCCAUACCUCCUCAUGAGGUAGCAGAAGACAGCUUAAAAUCAUCUGAAUAACUAUCUCAAUUAUUAGGCCUCCUGUACUUUUUAUUUGUCUAGAUUUGCUCUAUGAACUGGAAUGACUUUCGUUCACUAACCUUGGAUUUGUAGCUUUGUUCAUAUGUAAAGGGAAAAAGAGAAAAUUUCAGAAAACUUAAUCUGAAGAUUCAUAGAAUCAUAGAAUGGCCUGGGUUGAAAAGGACCACAAUGAUCAUCGAGUUUCAAUCCCCCUUGCUGUGUGCAGGAUUGCCAACCUCCAGAUCAGGCUGCCCAGAACCACAUCCAGCCUGGCCUUGAAUGCCUCCAGUGAUGGGGCAUCUGCAACCUCCUUGGGCAACCUGUUCCAGUGUGUCACCACCCUCUGUGUGAAAAACUUCCUCCUAAAAUCCAACCUAAACCUCUGUUGUCUCAGUUUAAGACCAUUCCCCCUUGUCCUAUCACUAUCAAACCUCAUAAACAGCCAUUCCCCCUCCUGUUUAUAUGCUCCCUUCAAGUACUGGAAGUAAACAAUGAGGUCUCCCCGGAGCCUUCUCUUUUCCAGGAUAAACAAGCCCAGUUCCCUCAACCUUUCCUCACAGGAGAGGUCUUCCAGCCCUCUGAUCAUUUUCGUGGCCCUCUAAGCACUCUAAGAGCUCCCCGUCCUUCCUCUACUGGGGGCCCCAGACCUGGUCUAUGAAAUAUAUUUUGCCAACUGGUAUGGCUAUUGUUCAGCUUUGUAGGAAAAAAGAAGAAAUAUCAACUAUAUAGUUAAAAAGGGAGAAUUUGGUGGUCUAGGUGAGAGAUCGGCUAUAAACAAUCUCUCAUUUCAGUUAAGAACUGUAUAUUAUCCUGGUUUACUCAUGAGAAGUGCUGUUGUCUCAUUAGCAACUCUUAUCUAUCACUGCUGUUUCUUAGUACUGCUUUUAGCUCUAGGAUUGUUCAUGGCAAUUGCCCUCAGCUGUGACACAAAGCAUGCUGUGGCUUUCUCUGCAGCAAGGAGCCAUAUAAAUGGACAAGGGGAUGGUUAUGGUGAGACUGUUGAAAGUGCUUCCCUUCACAGCUUCCACUGGUAACCAGGGACGUCUAUUUUUAAAAAGCAUUAUGUCAAAAAUGAUUGCAACAGUAGUUGUAACGCAACAUUGCAGUUCACUAUCUUACUGUCUUGUGGGUGCUUUGCAUGUUGUCUCUGCAGCAUGAGCACUAGUGGUCACACUAGGAUUCAAACAAUGCGCUGAAUAGUUGGAAGCUGUUUGGUCUCCUAUGCUUGUAGCAGCACUCCUAAAUAGAGAUGUAAAUUUAGCUUGUCCAUUAUUUUUUAUCUUGGUCAUGCAGUUUCAUCAGCUUGAAUUAAUCAUGUUGAUCCAGCAGGAAGAAAUGGGCUUCCGUCUUCUAAAUCUUGGCUGGCUACACUUCAGAAUCUACACAAGGCUCCUGGAAUAGCUCACGUCUAGAAGGGCUCCGAGAGAGUCUAAAUUUAGAAUUUCACUUGAUAAUGUUGGACAUGGCUUACUAUUUUUUGUAAGAAAUGACCAUUGAUCUUCUCACUCAGGCUGUUUUACAACGCUAACUCCACUGGUGAAUUAAUUCACCUGAAGUAGAGCAGUAUGAAAGAAGAAAAAGAUUUGUGAGAGAGACUGCUAAAAUCAACUUGGGCACCACAGAAAUAACUGUGUAACAAAAGCCAAGAAGUACCAAAUUUCCAAAAAUCAACACACAGAAAUCCCUACUUCUUUCCAUCUGGUCUCCUAUUAUUUCUUUUUUAAAGUUCCUUCUUACUUUAAGCAAUCCAGUUCUUGUCUUCUUCACAUUUUAUACGUUUUGAAAAAGUGUUUCUGUAAACUCUGAAAAAUAAGUUCUAAUUGAAUUGCACACCAGCCCUGCAAUUUUGCAUGUCUUUUGAAAUUUUGAUUUUUUUCCACCCAAGAAUGACUUUUUCUUUUGGAAAGAAUUUGUCAAAAGUCAAGCGAAUCCUUAUCAAGCAAGGAUGAAUUUGCUUUAUUACUCUUAUCUAAGACUGAUGCUGCCAUCAAGGUCUAAUAAUCUCCAUUAGCAUGUGAAUGUCAAGGUUUGAAUGUGAAGUACACAUACUGUAUCAUUUCAAAAUUUCACAGCUGUGGGCAAAUACAUUUGGUUUUUAUUCAUUCCUCAAGAUACAUGCUGUGUAUUGCCUCUAGCUUACACCUCUCAGUGAUGUGGUUUAUCUGGUUAUUAGAUUUCUAAGAUACUGUCAUAAAUUUAACAUUUAUUUUUAAAAUGGUGAAGAAUGUAUCCUAACGUUUGGACUUGUCAUUGUUCUUUAGACAGAAUUUAAGGUAAAUAUCCAGUUACCGCUGAGCUGGAAUAAAGCAGAUUUGUUUAACCUGAGAAAUUCAAUGAAAUAAAACAGAUUCCAAGAGAAAUGAGUG